rnacentral:rRNA from 1 species
CCUACGGGAGGCAGCAGUCGAGAAUCAUUCACAAUGGGGGAAACCCUGAUGGUGCGACGCCGCGUGGGGGAAUGAAGGUCUUCGGAUUGUAAACCCCUGUCAUGUGGGAGCAAAUUAAAAAGAUAGUACCACAAGAGGAAGAGACGGCUAACUCUGUGCCAGCAGCCGCGGUACUACAGAGGUCUCAAGCGUUGUUCGGAAUCACUGGGCGUAAAGCGUGCGUAGGCUGUUUCGUAAGUCGUGUGUGAAAGGCGCGGGCUCAACCCGCGGACGGCACAUGAUACUGCGAGACUAGAGUAAUGGAGGGGGAACCGGAAUUCUCGGUGUAGCAGUGAAAUGCGUAGAUAUCGAGAGGAACACUCGUGGCGAAGGCGGGUUCCUGGACAUUAACUGACGCUGAGGCACGAAGGCCAGGGGAGCGAAAGGGAGUAGAUACCCCGGUAGUC